CGGCGAGUGAUUCUCACGAAAUUAAAUCGACUGAUAUCUUAAUUUAAAACAUAAAACAAUUGAAUAAAAAUUAGUAAUGUUAUUUGUUGUACCUACACGCUAUUAUAUUUCUUUUUAAAACGUUUAAUAGGUAAUAAUAAUUAAUUGAAGAACUAAUUGUCAAGCCUCUAGCGAGUAUUGAAUAAUGUGAGUUGUACAUCAGGUUGGAAAAUUAAUUUAAAACCAAUACCAAAAUUUAUUAUAUAAUUUGUACAAAUUUGUAAUCAUAUUUCCAAAAUUUGUUUAAGAAACCCUGGUUAAAAUACACGAAUAUUAUCUCGGUUCUUUUGGGACCUAAUUAUUCUUGAGUAUACCUUUUUACGGGAUGCAACUCAUGUGCUUCCUUACCUUGUUAUAGGUACCUUUAUAUUAGAUAUUUAAAUAUUAAUAGUAGAUCCACAGUGAUUGCAAUUGGAUUUAGGCGUGUAUAUGAAAUAAAUAAAAUAAUAUGUACCUAGAAUCUUCCUUUUUCCUACACUUGAUGAAAAAAAUGAUUUUAUAAGCAAUGUUCGAAUAUACUUACCUAUUUUAUUUUAAACUUGUGUAAAAAUCUAAACUUGGUACUUCUAAAUAUCGAUAAAAAAGUAAUUUUGUUAUGAUAAGUAUAUUAUUUAUAAAACCUUUAUAAAUAAAAAGACGUCCUAGGAUAACGGAGACGGGAGCAGGCACUGUUGUAGGUAAUUUAAUAUAUAUCUGUAAGCAACAAUAACCUAUUGCUGA